rnacentral:misc_RNA from 1 species
GAGUUCAUGCCCUUACGAGGUAGAUCUCCCACCCUUGAAUAACAUACCUUUGUUGCUUUGGCAGGACGCACCCGUGCCAGGGGCUUCGGCUCUUGAGUGCCUGCCAGAGGACCACAACUCUUGUUUUCAGUGAUGUCUGAGUACUAUAUAAUAGUUAAAACUUUCAACAACGGAUCUCUUGGUUCU